GACGAACGCUGGCGGCGUGCUUAACACAUGCAAGUCGAACGCUGAAGCUCAGCUUUUGUUGGGUGGAUGAGUGGCGAACGGGUGAGUAACACGUGAGUAACCUGCCCCCUUCUUUGGGAUAACGCCCGGAAACGGGUGCUAAUACUGGAUAUUCACUGGUCUUCGCAUGGGGGUUGGUGGAAAGGGUUUUUCUGGUGGGGGAUGGGCUCGCGGCCUAUCAGCUUGUUGGUGGGGUGAUGGCCUACCAAGGCUUUGACGGGUAGCCGGCCUGAGAGGGUGACCGGUCACAUUGGGACUGAGAUACGGCCCAGACUCCUACGGGAGGCAGCAGUGGGGAAUAUUGCACAAUGGGCGCAAGCCUGAUGCAGCGGCGCCGCGUGAGGGAUGGAGGCCUUCGGGUUGUGAACCUCUUUCGCUCAUGGUCAAGCCGCAACAAUGGUUGUGGUGAGGGUAGUGGGUAAAGAAGCGCCGGCUAACUACGUG
rnacentral:rRNA from 1 species